ACCAGACUCCUACGGGAGGCAGCAGUGAGGAAUAUUGGUCAAUGGGCGCGAGCCUGAACCAGCCAAGUCGCGUGAGGGAUGACGGCCCUACGGGUUGUAAACCUCUUUUGCCGGGGAGCAACGGGCGCCACGUGUGGCGCCACUGAGAGUACCCGGAGAAAAAGCAUCGGCUAACUCCGUGCCAGCAGCCGCGGUAAUACGUAUGGAGCAAGCGUUAUCCGGAUUUACUGGGUGUAAAGGGAGCGUAGGCGGUAAGGCAAGUCUGAUGUGAAAGGCCAGGGCUCAACCCUGGGACUGCAUUGGAAACUGUUUAACUGGAGUGUCGGAGAGGCAAGUGGAAUUCCUAGUGUAGCGGUGAAAUGCGUAGAUAUUAGGAGGAACACCAGUGGCGAAGGCGGCUUGCUGGACGAUGACUGACGCUGAGGCUCGAAAGCGUGGGGAGCAAACAGGAUUAGAUACCCUAGUA
rnacentral:rRNA from 1 species